GACGAACGCUGGCGGCGUGCUUAACACAUGCAAGUCGUACGGUAAGGCCCUUUCGGGGGUACACGAGUGGCGAACGGGUGAGUAACACGUGAGUAACCUGCCCACAACUUUGGGAUAACGCUAGGAAACUGGUGCUAAUACUGGAUAUGUGCUCCUGCUGCAUGGUGGGGGUUGGAAAGCUCCGGCGGUUGUGGAUGGACUCGCGGCCUAUCAGCUUGUUGGUGGGGUAGGGGCCUACCAAGGCGGCGACGGGUAGCCGGCCUGAGAGGGUGACCGGCCACAUUGGGACUGAGAUACGGCCCAGACUCCUACGGGAGGCAGCAGUGGGGAAUAUUGCACAAUGGGCGCAAGCCUGAUGCAGCAACGCCGCGUGCGGGAUGACGGCCUUCGGGUUGUAAACCGCUUUCAGCAGGGACGAAGCUUUUUGUGACGGUACCUGCAGAAGAAGCACCGGCUAACUACGUG
rnacentral:rRNA from 1 species